rnacentral:lncRNA from 1 species
UUGUCUCUGCAGGGAGAAACAGGAACAACCACAACCUCAUCUGACCCGUUCACUUUCAUUUCACUCCCUCCCUCCUUUAUCCCCCCGAUCUUAUUCUUCUCCUCUUCAAACUUUCGAGAAACUCCUCUCGUUUCUCGGCCACCACCUCAAGCAUUCACCCUCCUCCCCCUCCUCUUCCCCUCCAUCACCCUGACUCCUUUGUCCCCUCGCCUCCCACUCUGGAACGUUGAUUACAUUACACCUUCUGUAAAGCUACAUCUGGAGUCAACGCAUCAGCCAGAAUCUGUAGAAAUGGAGCUGGUACAAAAAAAAAGAAAAUGGUAUUCAAAACUGUUUUUACUUGUAAGGAAGGAGGGAAGGAAGAGAGAAGGAAAGGAAGGAAGAUUUCUACGACAGAAAACAAAAAGUUUAUAAAACAAAUCAACUAUUUCCAGGGAUUCCAAGAAAACAUACCCUCAUUUUCGCAGGAUAACAAGCUCUUUUUGUCAGGAAAACUACACCACAGAAGAAGCCAUAACCAAUAAAAAUGUGCAAAAACACAAAUUAUUCGAAUGCUAGUCUUAGAUUGAUUAGCCUUACUUUCCAAAAGCAAAAUUUGGCAUCUAUAAAGGCCACCCAACAUGGAGAGGGAUCAUUCCAAGGAGUUUUAGUUAAAAUGUAAGAGCCCCAGGGAUGGAUAAAAAAAACGAGACAAAAAGGGCGAAAAGUUCAUUUGACACCAGAAAAAAAUAUAUAUAUAUUUUUUCAACAUUGUUUAAGUCAGCUUUCCUAAGUAUUUUGAGAGUUAAAGCAGAAUUUUUGUGUGUGUAAGAUCCCUAGAACUUUGUCAAAAUAACCCUGUCUUUGAGGGAAAAUCAUGAAAUUGUUAAAAACUUAAAUAUUUUUGAAAAAGAUUAACAUAAAAACAUGUUGGUAAAUAUAUUCAAAUUGAUACAAUACAAUGCAGCACUAUAAUGAUGUGUUAUUAGAUAAGAUAAUAUGGUACAAUAUGAUAUGUUAUAAUACCAUAUGAUUUGAUAGGAUACGAUAAGACAUGAUAUAACUUGAUCAAUAAGAUAAAAUAUGAUGCGUUAAGAUUCUGUACUUUUUUGUCUUAGACCUCAUUAGUGUGAAUAUGUGUCAGAUGAACACCCAAAAAGAUUUGAAAAAUAGAGCAGAGGACACAAGGAAUGACCAUGAUGAGUAUUGAAAAAGCACAAAGGAUUUAUCAGAUUUAAGAUUUUAGAUUGUCAGAGAAUCCCCCCAACUCAAUUGCAUCUCUCCAAGUUGGUAAUAGUCUUUUUCACCCAUACUAUUUGAUACAUUUUUCAUUUUUAACAACAUGAAACGUUCAAAGAACUCUGCAGAGUUUAUGAAUGUGUAUCUGUUCAAUAGUUUAACAUUGAUAAGUUUAAAGUUUCAGGGCAGAAAGUCUGAGUUUAGAAAAGUUCCUGCUGUGUUUGAAAAGCUCUUUCCCCUCAUGUGCCCCUUUUGCCAUUAUUAUUCCCCACUAAGCCUACCUCCAAUCAGUGCCUGACAGAACGUAACCGUGGAGAUGGAGUUUGUGGCGUGCAUGGAGAUGGAGAGGACUCCAUCGCCACAGUAACGGCAGUAGAGCUCCCAAACCUCCGAAUCCAUCUCUGAGGUCACUGUUCGCCGCUCUCAUCUCACCAGUGUGUGUGUGUGUAUGUGUGUGUGUCUUUGCACGGUUGUUACCACAAUCCCACUGAGGUUUUAGAUUUGACUAUAUUUCAGCUUGUUUGAAGUCCUCAGUGAAACCUUUUCAACCAAACCUCAUUCAAAAUUCACUUUUAUGUAUGCUCACGUGACUCAAUGAGGGUGCACUUUUGAGGGUUUUUUCUCCACUUUUUAAAGUCUGUGCUGUAAGAUUUUGCUGAUUUUCACGUUACAACAACACAAAAACAGUAAGUUAUCUGAAUUUUAAGAUGACAAGUGGACAGAAAUUAGGACAAAAGAGUAGACUAUAGAAACCUAACUUUGAGCUGGUUGGUUAGUCGGUAUGUUGUCCAUCUCACUAAACGUCUGUCUGUGUGUCGGUCACACUGACCCACAUGUUCAGGUCUACAUACAUUGCUGCUUUUGUUCCACUUGGCCGGCUGUCUGGCUGACUGUUGGCUGACUGCUGGAGCCCCACAACCGGUUAAUCUAAGGAUUACUGUCAGGACAGUACAGCCAUCCAACGGCCCUCUCCUGGGGAGCAGGAAUCUGUGUGUGUGUGUGUAUGUGUGUGUGUGUGUGUGUGUGUGUGUGUGUGUGUGUGUGUGUGUGUGUGUGUGUGUGUGUGUCUGUGUGUGUGUGUGUGUGUGUGUGUGUGUGUACCAUUACCCCUCAAGCAUCCAGUUUGUCUAAUCCUUUCCAACAUCCUCCAGUUUGAAGACACAGUCCCUCUCAGCAGUUGUAUAAUCAACACUUGACUUUGUUUAAUUGUUUCAGUUUGUCUUAAGCUGUUUCCUGCUGGUAUCAGGAGGCAUCAAAUGAUCCGACCAACUUCUUAUAAGUUGGAUCGUCAUGCCUAAAAGUUGCAGUUGAAGUUAAUUCCCUUUAAGCUUGAAACCAGGUAUUUCCCACUUUGCUAAUUAGGAUCUCUCAUCAGACUUUUCUGAUAAGAUGGAGGCUCGUCACUCAACGUUUUUUGCUGUGCAAGACUUAGAGGACAUCAGUUCAGAUCAUUUAAAACCAGUUAACAGCAAUUCAGAGGGAGGCGUGUUGGCAGCAAUUGCUUUUCCAUUUGAGGGUCAGGGGUGGCACAGCCCUCCCUUGAAAUCUGAUUGGACAGCCUAAGUUGGAGCACCUGUCUGCAGACACAGCAUGGCCCUAAAAGCAUGGGUUUAGUUGAAAGUUGGGCCUCUGCUUGGUUUUCAGCUGUUUUCAGGAAAUUAAGCGAUCUCACGAGCGAAAGUUGAUCUUCUUCGUCAUUCCCACAAAUUUUCGAGACUUUCAGGUUGUAAUAUCCUGUAGAUUCUUGAGUUGAUAUGAUGAGUGAUAUGAUGAGGGCAGUGACAAGAAUAUGAACAAAUGACUGAAAGUCUGAUAGCCUCUUGCUAAUGUGUUUGUUGAUUGUUUAGGUACAUAAAGUCAUAGAAGUGGCCCAAUAGUAAUGAACUAAAAGGAGAUCUCUGCAGUGGCGUAGACGGACACAUUUCUGUCUGUAAAUCGACUCACCUGGUGCUGGGACAAAUACAGCAAUCCAGAUAAACCGCCUAAUCAAGCUUUAACCGAAGCUCAAAUGAACCGUGCCUAUAAACCUCCUCCUGUAGUAUUGUGUUCCUGUUAAGUGUUGUUCUUCACUGACUUCGGUUCAUCUUGUUACUUUUUCAGAUAAGCAGCUAAAACCUUAACCUUAAGAGCUGUGAAUUAACCUCAUGGUCGUGUUUACCUGAAGAUUAAAGCUUCAGUUUGGACCUCAUGUGGGGGAGAAACUAAACUAGAAUAAUAAGAGAUGGAAGUACUGCCAUAGCGUGAUAAUAAACACAAGAUGAUGACUGCUGUGGAGGAAGAUAGAGAAGUGGGAGAGGUAGGAGACAAGGGUUGAGCAAAAGAGGGUGAAGUGGUAGGAGAAGAUGGGAAAGAAGAAGAAUACUGAAUCAGAAGAGUAUCUCUUUACGUUUCUAACACCUGGACUUAAGGUUUUUGGUUGUUACAUUCCUGCUGACCCCACCAGGAGUGUCUUUACCUCAUGCGCAGGGUCAGCAGUGGGCUCCGACCGAAGGUGACCUCCUCCUUCUGGACCUCAGCUAAUCCUUUUUGUGUAAAACAGUCCUCAUGUUGUCUGGCUGUGAUUAGUGCUGGUUUGUUGCUCAGUUACCUCCAUGUUUACGUCCCUUACCCUGAAAUCUCUUACCCUGCAGUUCCAGGAUACUGCUGCAGGUUCAUGUCGGGUUCUUUAGACUUUGCUGCUGGUAGUCUAUCAUAGAAAUUCAGUGCUGCGCUCAUAUAUUAAUAAAGAGUCCUCCCUUCACCCUCAUCAUAUGUGACCAUCACUCACUAAUCUGAUCUCAUUAAGAGAUCUAUCAGGGUAAAGAAAGAGUUCAAUCCGUCCUCUUUGUUCAUUAUUAAGUAAGGCGGGUUAGUAUAAAAACAAAACCCUCAACAUCAACUUUUAUCACUCUGGUUUAAAAAGUAUAAGUGAAGUCUAAAGCUAAAUACAGAAAAUUAUGUGUAUCAUCAGCUCCAUUUUAAAAAGUUUUGUUCAUUUAAAGGUACAAAAAGUAAAAAAAUGUGUAUACAUACUGUAUAUACAUUAGCAGGAAAAACGGACAUGAAGAGCUAUUUCUGCAGAAAAGUACCGACAUUCAGGGUUAAAAUUAAGGAUAUUAUAGACGUUGGGAGCUGGAUUAAUGGAGGUAUGGACAUUUUGGACUAAAUUUAGAACAGAUACCAACAUUUAAGACUAAAUUCAGGGAAGACUAUGGACAAUUAAAGACUAAUGUGAGGAAAGAAUUGACAUUCACUAGCAGGUAUAAAUAUUGACAUUUAAAGCAAGAUUUAUUGGAAAUCCAGAGCUAAAGUUAGAGAAAUGUAGAUUACACAUAAACUAAGGAAAAAAUAGAUGACAAAUUAAAGCUCAAUUUGAAAAAAUCUUAAAGCUUAAUUUAUCGUAAACUUUAGAAAUGAAGUUCUGAGUUUAGCAAAAAUGUGGCCAUUUAGAAUCACAUUUUGGAAGUCUAUUGACAAAAUUGUAGGUAAAGUAUGUACUUGAAGGUUGCUGUUAUGAAAGAAAGUCCAUUUUUAGGGUUUCAUUUACAGAAAACUUCAAUAUUUAGAGUAAAAUUUACAUUGAAUAUGGAUAUUUAGGGCUAUAUUUACAUGAAAUGAGGAUAUUUAGGGUUUUAUUUAAAGAAUAUGUUGACAUUCACUACUAUUUACACUACUACAUACACUACAAUAGCUAAAGUGAUGUCUGAUGCUAGAUUAAGCAAAACUUGAGGAAUUUAUGGCUGAGAUUUGGUGCAAAAUGAAUACGGAAGUCCCAAUAAUGUAGCAUCUUCACAAGAAAUACAGCAGAGUACUUUACAGUUAGGAGAAAAUCACCCAUGACAACAGAAUUAAACAUUAAAACAAGCAUUAAAUGCCAUAACUGUGAUGUAAAACGUUUUACUCUGCUGAUAAUGAUAACACAAAUGACUUUUAAUCAGAUUUCAAAUAGACUGUAAAACAUCAGAAAAACUGUGCAGUAGUCGUUUUUUUUUUUUUUUUCUUUUUUACAAAGUUUGUUGUUGUUUCUCAUAAAUCUUACUCUUCCCUAAAGUAAAAAAAAUACUGUAAAACACUGUUUAGGAGCCGCUAAACAGAAAGUUCCUUUCAUUGGUGAGCUCCCCGUGUGAUAUUCUCUCACACCCAAAUCUCACAGAGUCGAUAAUGGAGGCAGAGACGGAGACGGAGGGCUGGGGGGUCCCUUUAGUCUCAUGCUUCAGUAGUAAUUUGUCAGCGGGCAUGAAUGGACUCCUUCAUCAGUGAGUGGAGACAGCAACAAGCACACACAGACCGUGUGUGUGUGUGUGUGUGUGUGUGUGUGUGUGUGUGUGUGUGUGUGUGUGUGUGUGUGUGUUUCUGUGCGCACGCACAGACUCUCAGACUGGAGUCUUGCUCUAAAGCCUCUCCACUCCUUUGUAUGGGCCCACCGUAUGCAGUUCCCCUGACAGCCAAUCAGAAUCCAGGGAGCUCAUUACUUCACUGUCUGAUAGAGGCUGUGCCAAGUUGGACCAGAAUUCACCAAAAAAAAAAACGCUAAUUUAAGGCUAGAAAGAGAGCAGGACAAAAAAGGGGGAAAAUGGCAAUCUCUUCAGAGCUGAAAAUAGUCUCAGAGUCCAAAAUGAAAAGAUUUACAGUUUCUUGUUGGUCUGGACUGCCGCAGUUUCAAGCAUUUUCUCUUGGUACCAGAUUGCAAUCCAGUAUUUACGAUGACAACAAAGAGCACACUAGUUCAGCAUAUUUGUAAACAAACCGACAGAAGGUCUGUUAUGGCGUAAGUAAGGAGUUGCAGUCAUCAGUGUGUGAUAUUACAGUCAUUGCAGUACCAUCAGAAAUAAUAGGGGGCAGUGUUGAGCCAUGUGGCUGACUGUUCAUGUCAGAGUUGAUUUUGUGCCUUUUGACACAGACUCAAACUAAAACAGUCACCACAAAAGGUCAAACAGUCAUAAUCUUCAAGGUGCAUGACUGACUAACAACCCUCUCUGCUGUCGAGGAAAGUCAGCGCAGUUUAGCAUCUGCACCAGUGUUUUUAAGUGUGUGUGAGUUCGUGUGUGUGUGUGUGUGUGUAUUCACUCUGAGUGAGCUGGAAAGAGGCCAGCCAUUGACGUAGCGGCUGCACGGUUGAGUCUCCUCUUCCAAUUAAAAACAUUCACCCAGAAACGGGACUUGUACAUUUCCCACUGGAGUAAAGCUUUUGUCCGAGGACACAAAGCUCUGAUUAUUGUGCUGCUGCUGAAUUUAUGAAUGGACACAAAAGAUGGCAGCCAUUGGGGGGGAAAAAAGUGUCAUUAUGUAGAGGAAUGUGUUUGUGUGUCUGACAGGUGUUUGAAAGAUUUGUGAUUAAAGUUUCUAAAUUGAAGUUCUGCGGAAACACAUUUUUUUAUAUAAAGCACGCUGAGUAUUUUUCUUGUUGGUGAGCCGAUGAAAUGUCAGAUAUGUCCUUGACUGUCGUUUACUUUGAUGCACAACAUAGUGAACUCGCUGCAUCUACUGGAUCUGGCUAAUAAAAUGCAGUCUAACUUUUAGAUUUUCCUGUGUCAGGCAUGAUCAGUAUCAGUCUAUCCUGUCCUGAAAUCCCUUGCUUCCUCACUUUUACCUCUUUAUUCCUUCCUUUCUACACAGGCCUUUCAAACUGCAAAGACUAGUCAUCAUUCCCUGAGGAUAUCCAGGUUAAUCUGUAAAGUCUUAAUCUCUCUCUUCUGUCCUCCGUCCAUUCUCCACUCCAUCCACUCAGGAUCAUCCAGACCACCGCCCCAUUCAUCCCCCCCGCCCUCAUCUUCACCCCGUCUGCUGUGCUUGCAGGGUCACUAGGUUUGCCCUCACAGUACAGGCAGAGAGGGGUCGAGGGGCGUGGCCUGUGGACGACUGACUUUGAUCACUAUGGGGUUACAGCCCCUUUUAUUCCACCUGAUCAGCACUGUACUGACCCCGUGGUCCCACCCCCAGCAGAGACACUAAUGCAUCAGGGGGGCUCAGAGGAGGAGUCGUGUCUAAUUUUUUCUUUUAGCUUUUAAUUCCUUUUCUCGAAAAACACAGGAGGGUACCGUUUAGAUGGUCUUCUUUUUUUUACCUGUUCUUUGAUAUAGUAACAUUUUACAGGCUAGUUAACAUAGAAACAGCAAAGUCAUACAUGAGUAUUGACUAGAAAUAACCCCUAAACUCAAAAGUUUACAGGAUCCUUAUAGAAACACAUAUUUACUGUGAUAUUAGCGAGAGAUGUACAUUUUCUAUAAACCCAUUAUCAC